rnacentral:rRNA from 1 species
GACGUAGGGCGCGAGCGUUGUCCGGAUUUAUUGGGCGUAAAGAGCUCGUAGGCGGCUUGUCGCGUCGACUGUGAAAACCCGCGGCUCAACUGCGGGCUUGCAGUCGAUACGGGCAGGCUAGAGUUCGGUAGGGGAGACUGGAAUUCCUGGUGUAGCGGUGAAAUGCGCAGAUAUCAGGAGGAACACCGAUGGCGAAGGCAGGUCUCUGGGCCAUAACUGACGCUGAGAAGCGAAAGCAUGGGGAGCGAACAGG